rnacentral:rRNA from 1 species
CAGGCCUAACACAUGCAAGUCGAGCGGCAGCACAGAGAAACUUGUUUCUCGGGUGGCGAGCGGCGGACGGGUGAGUAGAAAUUGCCCUGAUGUGGGGGAUAACCAUUGGAAACGAUGGCUAAUACCGCAUGAUAGCUUCGGCUCAAAGAGGGGGACCUUCGGGCCUCUCGCGUCAGGAUAUGCCCAGGUGGGAUUAGCUAGUUGGUGAGGUAAGGGCUCACCAAGGCGACGAUCCCUAGCUGGUCUGAGAGGAUGAUCAGCCACACUGGAACUGAGACACGGUCCAGACUCCUACGGGAGGCAGCAGUGGGGAAUAUUGCACAAUGGGCGCAAGCCUGAUGCAGCCAUGCCGCGUGUGUGAAGAAGGCCUUCGGGUUGUAAAGCACUUUCAGUCGUGAGGAAGGUGGUAGUGUUAAUAGCACUAUCAUUUGACGUUAGCGACAGAAGAAGCACCGGCUAACUCCGUGCCAGCAGCCGCGGUAAUACGGAGGGUGCGAGCGUUAAUCGGAAUUACUGGGCGUAAAGCGCAUGCAGGUGGUUUGUUAAGUCAGAUGUGAAAGCCCGGGGCUCAACCUCGGAACUGCAUUUGAAACUGGCAGACUAGAGUACUGUAGAGGGGGGUAGAAUUUCAGGUGUAGCGGUGAAAAAUGCGUAGAGAUCUGAAGGAAUACCGGUGGCGAAGGCGGCCCCCUGGACAGAUACUGACACUCAGAUGCGAAAGCGUGGGGAGCAAACAGGAUUAGAUACCCUGGUAGUCCACGCUGUAAACGAUGUCUACUUGGAGGUUGUGGCCUUGAGCCGUGGCUUUCGGAGCUAACGCGUUAAGUAGACCGCCUGGGGAGUACGGUCGCAAGAUUAAAACUCAAAUGAAUUGACGGGGGCCCGCACAAGCGGUGGAGCAUGUGGUUUAAUUCGAUGCAACGCGAAGAACCUUGAUACCUACUCUUGACAUCCAGAGAAUCUAGCGGAGACGCUGGAGUGCCUUCGGGAACUCUGAGACAGGUGCUGCAUGGCUGUCGUCAGCUCGUGUUGUGAAAUGUUGGGUUAAGUCCCGCAACGAGCGCAACCCUUAUCCUUGUUUGCCAGCGAGUAAUGUCGGGAACUCCAGGGAGACUGCCGGUGAUAAACCGGAGGAAGGUGGGGACGACGUCAAGUCAUCAUGGCCCUUACGAGUAGGGCUACACACGUGCUACAAUGGCGCAUACAGAGGGCGGCCAACCUUGCGAAAGUGAGCGAAUCCCAAAAAGUGCGUCGUAGUCCGGAUUGGAGUCUGCAACUCGACUCCAUGAAGUCGGAAUCGCUAGUAAUCGUGGAUCAGAAUGCCACGGUGAAUACGUUCCCGGGCCUUGUACACACCGCCC